GAAAGGUCUUACAAAGUGCCCUUUGCGUUCCAGCUCCUGCGGACGGCUCCGCCCGGGCACGAGCAGCAGCAGAACGCCUGUGCAGUCAGGCCCUUGGGUGGGCUCCUCUCCUCAGCUUUGCACUGUGGUUGGCCCCUCACACGGUUGCCAGAGUGGCCAAUGGAAAUCGCUGUGGAUACAACCCAGUUCAUACCGGGGGGCCCUCCCAGACGCUCUGCAGACCAGAGGGCAACUCCUCACGGAACAUUGACUUUCCGACUGUCACCCUAGAGGGCCAGAACCUCACCCCUUUGCACUUCAGGCUCUAGAUCCACGUCUACCAUUAUUGCUUAAUAAAUAUUUGUUACAAUAAUUAAUUAAAUCAAUUCAGUGGUUUCUUGAAUAAAACUUUGGCUGGCAGCUAUAAAUCUCUUUGAUGCUUGAAGAAGUUAUUGUUACUAAAUGCAGUUUUGUAGGAAAA
rnacentral:lncRNA from 1 species